CUACGGGUUGCAGCAGUUGCGAAAAUUGCCCAAUGCUCCUAGAGCGAGGCAGCGACAGGUAAUACUAAGACGCGGCACUUCGUGCUGUGUCAUCGGAAUGGACUAAAUUUAAAUCCCUUUGUGAGGAUCAAGUCGAGGGCAAGUCAGGUGCCAGCAGCCGCGGUAAUUCCUGCUCGACGAGUGAACACGAUCUUUGUUGCAGUUAAAAAGCUCGUAGUUGAACUUCUGGUGUGCGCGGGGGGUUGGGGGCGCAAGCCUCCUUCCUGUUGCGCGCUCCAUGCUCGCUCCGCGUCGCGUUUCCGCAAGGAGGCGCGUCAAGCGAAGCGUCCGUUACUGUGAACAAAACGAUUCACUCAAGGAGGGUUUUCCGCCUGAACGACUCGCACGGGAUAACCGAGAAAGGCCCUUUUCCUUUUCGUUGGUUUGGGAUGGGGGUUUGGUUAACAGGAACGGAUGUGGAUAUUUGUACUGUCGCAGAAGAGGUGAAAUUCUUGGAUCGCGACAUGACAAACAACAGCGAAAGCAUUUAUCCAAGAUGUUUUCAUUAAUCAAGAACGAAAGUCUGGGGAGCGAAGAUGAUUAGAUACCAUCGUAGUCCAGACCGUAAACGAUGCCGACUCGGGAUCCCGGCGUGCUGUAACGGCUGCCGGGGCACCGUAUGAGAAAUCAAAGUCAAAGGGUUCCGGGGGGAGUAUGCUCGCAAGGGUGAAACUUAAAGAGAUUGACGGAAGGGCACACCAGAGGUGGAGCCUGCGGUUUAAUUUGACCCAACACGGGGAAACUUACCAGGUCAGAACAUGAUGAGGAUUGACAGUUUGAAAGCACUUUCUUGAUUUUAUGGGUGGUGGUGCAUGGCCGUUCUUAGUUGGUGGAGUGAUUUGUCUGGUUGAUUCCGAUAACGAACGAGACCACCUUCCUCAACUAGUCGCCUCUGACUUGCGUCAGAGCGUGACUUCUUCAGGAGACUAUCUACUUUUAGUAGAAGGAAGCAGGUGGCAAUAACAGGUCUGUGAUGCCCCUAGAUGUUCUGGGCCACACGCGCGCUACAAUGACGGAUUUAACGAGUUUUUGCUUGCCCGGAAGGGCACGGCUAAUCUUUUCAAUGUCCGUCGUGAUGGGGCUAGAUUCUUGCAAUUAUUAAUCUUCAACGAGGAAUCUCUUGUAUGUGCUGUUCAUCAAACAGCGCAGAAUAUGUCCCUGCCCUUUGUACACACCGCCCGUCGCAGCUACCGAUUGGGUGAUCCGAUGAAAGGCUCGGAGGGGUUGUAGGUCCCGCAAGGGGUUUGCGACGCCAAAGUUCUUUGAAUCUUAUCAUCUAGAGGAAGCUGAAGUCGU
rnacentral:rRNA from 1 species